UACGGAGGGUGCAAGCGUUAUCCGGAUUCACUGGGUUUAAAGGGUGCGUAGGUGGGAAUGUAAGUCAGUGGUGAAAUCUCCGUGCUUAACAUGGAAACUGCCAUUGAUACUAUGUUUCUUGAAUCUUCCGGAGGUCAGCGGAAUAUGUCAUGUAGCGGUGAAAUGCUUAGAUAUGACAUAGAACACCAAUUGCGAAGGCAGCUGACUACAGGGGCAUUGACACUGAGGCACGAAAGCCAGGGGAGCAAACGGG
rnacentral:rRNA from 1 species